AUCCCUUUCAAACAUUGCGAGUAUGUUCUGAUAUUCCUGCAUUGAAGUGGUUGUCGACAUAGAAAUUCUUGGUGGGGGAUGCAUCGAUACUUAACUGCAACGCUAAACUAAGCUCUCAGUGGAGUCCACUGAAAUAAUCAGAUGAACAUAUGCUAAGUUAAGAUCAAGCGACAAUGCAUGGUGCAGACACAUGCCGGUGAAAUGAGACCAACUGGCUGCUGCUCAUUGUGCCGCUCAAUUAUAAACCCUGAAAGUGAAGAGCAUGAAUGGGUGCAGUGAUUGAGACUAGAUUCUGCAGACACUAAGAGAGCACCUAUGAGGCUAUGAUAGUGGCCACGAGCCUGGUCAGGUGCACUGAAAGCUAGAUUUGGAUGGGCGUUAGUGGCUAUUAGUUUAGGAAGGCCUACCCAGAAAAGUCAUGGAAAUACAAUGGAUGGAGACUAGAGGCCCUUUUCUGAUCCUUUUUGCUUCUUCUCCUGGUAAAGACGUACUGGAGGAAGAUUAUUCGAGCCCAAUACUCAAGAAAUGAUUUUAUUCCACGUCAAUCAGAAUUGCCCGUGCCAUGCUUAGCUCACCACCAAACCCACAAGCCAUGUCAAUCAGUUCAGUUCCAUUCUGUGCACAUUUUGUAGGGGAACCCUUUCUUCAACUCUAUGCUAUAUAAUUAUAUUUUCGACUCUAGCCUAUAAAGAAAAUAGCAUUGUUAUACCACCCAUGGAUUAUGGUUGCCAAACAAUGUUUUGGUGAGGUAACGUGCAGUUUGGAUGGUCAUAAACUUGCAUAGAUGAAUAUAGUACAGUGCAAGGCCACCUUUUGUUAAAUCUGAAACAGCUCUUGUCGGUUUUA